rnacentral:rRNA from 1 species
GCGAGAAGCGUGCCUCAAGAUAAGCUCUCCCGUAGCAAUAUGCUACCUAAAGACCACUCGUAGACCACGAGUUUGAUAGGCUGGGUGUGGAAGGUCCGUAAGGGCUGUAGCUAACCAGUACUAAUCGGUCGUGCGGUUUAACAUC